rnacentral:lncRNA from 1 species
GGCUCCCUACGUUGGGGACCUGGCUUACUCGACGCUCAUCAUCAUAGGUCUGACACUUAGUCGAUGUAGCUAUCCCCACCUCAGGGCAACAAGACUCGGGCUGGCAGACAGACUGGGGAAGCCAACCUGCUUCCUGCUGGUGCUCGUGGAAGCCAGCAGAGGGUGUAGGGUCUCCUGGAGCCACAUCUCUGGAGUUACAUGAAGUUGUGGACCUCUCAACAUGGGUUCUGGGAACUGAACCCAGGUCCUCUGGAAGGACAUCGAGUGCUCUUAACCACUGAGCCAUCUCUGCAGCCUAACCCCAUCCCUUGGAGGCUGAAGCAAAGCAAGUUCAAUGACCGUGCGACCUGGCUCUUGUUUGGGCCUAAGGAAAAGCCGACUGUAAGCCGGGAAGCAUCUCUGGCAAGAACAAGGAAGGAUUAAGCACGUCUGUGGUUGUGCGCAGGGAUCACAAGGUGCUCCUGCAGUGGGAAGAGCCACCACUAGGGGCGCUCCAAGUCUUGUAUUUUCUACCUUGAAAACUCGUUUCCCUGUGGCUGCCCUCCAAAUCCAACGGAGAUGAAUGGCUUUUAGUUUACCUAGCUGAUUUAAUAAACUUUAAAAAUAAA